rnacentral:rRNA from 1 species
AGAGCGAACGCUGGCGGCAUGCUUAACACAUGCAAGUCGCACGGGCAGGGGCAACCCUGUCAGUGGCGGACGGGUGAGUAACGCGUAGGUAUCUAUCCUUGGGUGGGGGACAACUGUGGGAAACUACAGCUAAUACCGCAUGAUGACUGAGGUCCAAAGCUCGCGAGAGCGCCUGGGGAGGAGCCUGCGUACGAUUAGCUAGUUGGUGGGUAAAGGCCUACCAAGGCUGUGAUCGUUAGCUGGUCUGAGAGGAUGAUCAGCCACAUUGGGACUGAGACACGGCCCAAACUCCUACGGGAGGCAGCAGUGGGGAAUAUUGGACAAUGGGCGCAAGCCUGAUCCAGCAAUGCCGCGUGUGUGAAGAAGGUCUUCGGAUUGUAAAGCACUUUCGACGGGGACGAUGAUGACGGUACCCGUAGAAGAGCCCCGGCUAACUUCGCGCCAGCAGCCGCGGUAA